AGCUCCAGUAGCGUAUAUUAAAGUUGUUGCAGUUAAAAAGCUCGUAGUUGGAUUUCUGGUAUGACAAGAAUGUGGUCACUAUCCGCUAGGACGGUGACCCAGUACUCGUCUACCAUCCUUCUAGAAAGCGCGCCUACCCUUCACUGGGCUGGGCGCGUGCUCUAGAUCUUUUACUUUGAAGAAAUUAGAGUGUUCAAAGCAGGCUUGCGCUAUGAAUACAUUAGCAUGGAAUAAUAAUUUAGGACUUCGGUUUUAUUUUGUUGGUCUAUAAAACAGAAGUAAUGAUUGAUAGGGAUAGUUGGGGGUGCUAGUAUUCCGCGGCCAGAGGUGAAAUUCUUGGAUUCGCGGAAGACUAACUUAUGCGAAAGCAUUCGCCAAGGAUGUCUUCUUUA
rnacentral:rRNA from 1 species